CAAGCACCUCAUUACUCAUAAUACUGUGACAUCCUGAGUUGUAAAAGAGGUGCUGUUAUAUAACACAGGCACUGUAUAGCAGCCUUAGGUUAUGAAUAUUAAGAGACAAUCUCAAAUGAGAUAAUAUCAAUAAAGACCUCCUGUCGUCUCUACCCAAGAAAUAAACUAAAGGAAGGCAGUGUCCUUGCAGGCAUUUUGACAUCAGGGAUGGGCAAAAACAUACAUCCAUUUAAGAAUUCUAGAAUCAGAGACUAGGAAGAGUUGAAACAACCUUACAGAUCACUUGAUGCACUUUAUAUAGACCCAGGGGAGAAACAAAAAGACCAACUACUAAAGCUGCUAAAACAAGAUAAAGCAUACUGCAAGGGAAAGGCUGGAGCAGUUCACUGGCUGAAGUUAUAAACUCCAUCAAGAGACACACAAUCAGAUGGCACAACUGUCUUCAGUGGGUCACAGUUUUCCAAAUACAAAGGCGGUGCCUACCGAAGCUCUGGGAUUCUGGAAAAUAUACUGGACUUGGAGUAAGACAAUCUCAGUCCAUGUUCCUAGUUCUAGGAUUUUAGGCAUAACACUUGGCUUUUAGGGCAUUGUAUUUUCUUUAUAGUAACAUGGUAUUAAAAUGAUGCCUAUCAACAGGCUUGUCAGGAUGAGUCAACAGCAUAUUAGAUGGGAAAACACCAUAAAGUACAAAAGGCUUGUUAUCGUCAGUCUCCUUUGGUUGUUAUAUUGGUUAAGAGGACUAAUUGUUGCCUCUCUCCAAGUUCAGAACUAAUUCAAACAUACAUAGAGGAGUCAGAGGUGGAUCAAACAUUAUUUUUAUUACUAGUUAAGUUGGAUUUAAGAACAUGGCUUGACUUAUAGCUUCCUACUGUAUCCUAUAACACACUAUUUUUUCAUAUUCUGCCCUUUCUCCUUGAUUAUACUAUAAGCUUUUGGAGAGAAGAAAUUAUGCUUUAUAUCUCUCUGCAUCCCUAGAGUUUUUCACACAGCCAUAACCCCAGCAGGUGUGCUAUCUGAUAAAGGAGACUGCAUUUGUACCACAGUUUUCUAUGUGAAGCCUUUUUUCUCCACUGGCCUGGGAACUCUUGGAGGGCAGGGUUCAUGUCUUUUCAUUCCCAGUGCUUAGCAUAAUACCUAGCACAUAGUAGAUUCUUUAUAAAAGUGUGUUGAAAGAUCAUGAAAACAGAAGGGUACCAAAUGAUCUGGUGCCACCCAGGGGUUGCAGAGAGGGAUUUAUUUAUUUUUUAUUUUUUUUUUAGGAUUAUUAUGAAUAACAGUGAAUAUAAAUAUGGAUUGAAAAUAGUCCUUUUGGUGAUUUCAAAAUUUUCUGGUUGGCCUCUGAGACAGGUGGCAUCUUAAUGAAAGAGGGGAAGCUCCCCAUCUGGGAAGGCUCAGAAGUGGGGCCUACCCUAUUUCCUUAACACUCAGGACACUAGGAAGCCUUGCAGUUUACUUGUAUCCAAGUGAGGGGAUUUGCCUAUUCUGUUAUCUACUUUGAAAUGUUAGCUCCUAAAACAUGGGCAGGUAGCUUAAAAAGACAUCUGAAAUAAACACUGGAUUGAAGGCAAUGCUAAUAAUGGAAGCACAAGUGAACAACAAGCAAAAGGCAGGCUGACACUUCUAUUAUUCUUGAUAUAAACUUUUCUUCAACCAUGUUAUAAAGUAAAAAAUAACGAUGAACUAAGCAGAGAGGGAUUUAAAGGAGGGCUGUCUUCUAAGGAUCCCAUUCUUGACAGUUUGUUCAUUUGGAAAAUAGCACUACCUGCAAAUUAUUGUGAUUGAAGGUUUUAUUUGAGACAGUUUUCCCCAGGAGAAACUUCAGCUUCUGUUUACUUGUUAGGCACCCUGGCUAUCUGGGCAUCUGAGCCCUGGACAUCUUAAUUAGAGUUGGUCUGCUAAUGUCCAUAGCAGAGAGGAACUGUCACUUGGUAAUUAAGUUAGAGCCAUGACAGAAGCCUGUGACAUCUGAUGUUUCAGAAUAUAACAACCCUUGUUCUUCUCCCAAGGGAUGCACACACCAUGAAACAAUUUCCUUUGGAGUUGCUGGUAGAAUCUGCUAACAUAAUAUCUAAGAUGAGAUGGCAUGCAGAGGUCUCUGUAAGGGGUGAGGACCUCAAAACACUCUUGUGAAGUAUGCUGCUCCUCAGUUCAGGGCCUUGCAGAGGAUCUGAGACAACAAACCUUCCUAUACAGAUAAACUCUCGGUGCCUCAGUGGAGUGAGUGCAUGAGAUGUGGCUUACUCAGCUGUGGCCACCUGGGCAGGGUUGUUGUGGAGUCAGGUCCUCUGCUUUAUGUGAUUGUUUCUGUGUUUUUUAAGCCCUGAGCUGUGCUUCCAGAGAUGUCUGCACCUGUGCACUGCAUUUUGGACUAUAUGCUCUGUGGACGCUGUGAGAAUCCCCUAACUUUGCUUUUUUUUUUUUAGGACAAAUCAGAAUAAAACAAUUCAACUUUCAAGGUAUUAAAAGGAUUCACCAACUCCUAUCUCUUAACACAAUGGCCAAAAAACUGCUGGACUCAAGGCACAGUCAUGUAUUCCUGGCAUAAGGCCUGCCUGGGUGUUCUAACUCAAUGAGCCCCACAUGCCAGACUAUUUCCACAGAGCUGAUAUGGGACAGGAAGGGCUAAGGAACUUCAAAACUAAUAGUUUGGUGCAACUGAUAUGGACCUGUGCAGUCACUGACCACAUGUAGCACUGAGAACUUGAAAUGUUGCAAGUGUGACUGAGGAAGUGAAUUAUUAAAACUUAUUUUUAACUAAAUUUAAAAGGUGAUAGCUAAUUCAGUCACUAGAAACAUUUUAAGUAUGUAAGUCUACUUUUCCAAUCGUAAGUUUUAUGAAAUCUAACCAACUAUUUAUGAAAAAAAUUCAGUGUCUAAAUUGAAGAUGUGCUAUAAAUGCACAUUAUAUAGGAGAUUUAAAAGACCUGGUCUGAAAAAAAAAAAGAAAGCAAAUAUUUCACUAGAUUUUUUUAUUGAUUAUAUGUUGAAAUAAUGUUUUGAAUACAUUGGUUUAAAUACAAAUAUUAUUUAAAUUGCUUUUGCCUAUUUCUUUUCACUUUUUCUACUGUGGCUACUAGAAAAUUUGAAAUUACAUAUGUGCCUUGUGUUCUAUGUCCAUUAGACUGGGCCAACCUAGACCAUAAUUCUCAUUCUCUCUAAUGAAGUCUCAUCCAACAAUAUGGACCACUUGAGAAACCUGCUCAUUGUUCCUCUGUCCAGUUCAUUCCACUUUAAUGCCAUGUUUCUUUGGUCUCCCAUGUGCCAGGCAUUGUUCUAGGCUAAGAAUACACCAUGUGGGCUCUUAACUGACUGUAGGCAAUAAACAAAGAACAACAAAAAAAAUUGUAUAAUUUCAAGUGCUGUGCAGAACUUAAACUAGGGAAAAGUAAUGGAGAGAGACUGGGUGAUGUGUUUAUGCUGAGUGGUGAGGGGAACUGCUGUGGGGAGGUCCUGGGGCUGUAAUCUGAACAGCAGGGAGCCACCCAUGCCAGGCUGGGACAAACAACUGGUCAAAGAACUUCGCAAGGAAUAAGUUGAAGUGCUUGAAGAAGGAAAAGAACAUCAGUGUGACUGGAGUACUGCUGUGCAGAGGGAUGUAGGAGAGGACAUCCUAGCAUGCACACUGCACUGAGAAUCUGGACUCAUGCUUAAGCCUCUUCUCUCACAUCAACUAGGCUUGGAUCCUGGGUAAGUCACUUCUCCACUCAGGAUGGCCUCCAUUUCCUCAUGCACUAAACACAGUGGCAAUUACUAAAGGAUCUUCCUUUCAGGUCUGACGGCAUAGACUUUUGUGACUCUUCUGUAUAUUCUAGGGAAUAAAAGUCCUGUCCUAGAAAAUUAAAGAAAGAGGAAACAAACAGAAACACUCUGACCCUUUAAAGAUUUAGCAACUGCUUAUCUGAUGCUUACCUUUCUCUUCCUCUCCCUCUUCUUUAAAAAAAUGAAAAUUACAUGACAUCUAGCCAACCCACUCUCAUAUAACAUCAAAGGGUAAACUUCUAAAUUCCCUGUUGUACACACAAGAAUGUUUUCCUCCAAAAUCUGGACCACCUUCCUCACAAAUACAAUCAGAUGUCCUGCACAGAGACUGCCCUUCUUUAUAAUUAGACUACAAUUCCUAUGAAAGUCAAUAUUUUCUAGUUUUCAGAACUUUACGUUUUCGAAGUAUUCCUUGAACUUCGGGAAAUUUGGAGGAUUGUCAGGCUGGCAAUGAUUCUGCCAAAAGUUUCUUCUGUGGCAAAACAUUAUCAAGGAGACCACAUCUAUAAAAGCCACAUCUCCAGGGAAAGAAUAAAAUACCUGGUCAUACUCAUUUAUCAUUAUGAUUUAAUAAUGCAAAAGAGAGGCCCAUGGGACUACAUCCAGGGCGAACUUCAAUUACAUCUCUAACCCAGGGGCAUAUGACAAAUGUUUAACAAUCAGCCCUUCACCAGCCAUCUCCAGCCCUUACAUGGAACCUCCAUACUGGUUUUCAGAGAAUGAGACUUAGGACGGGUUCAUAGAGGAGAGGAGGAAGAUGCAGUAAGUUGUAUUUGUAACAUGAUACAUGAGAACCAGGAACAAGGUCCUAGCAAUGGAAGCGAGAUGAGGUUUUACUUUAUAUUCAGAGAGAUGGGAGGAGUAGGGGAGCACAUGAUGAUGAUGGUAAGAAUAACAUCAGCCCAACAUUUAUAGCACUUUUUAAAAUGCUUUGUAUAUAUUAAACCAAUCAAACAU
rnacentral:lncRNA from 10 species